GGGAAGGUGGCUCAGUGGUAGAGCACUUGCCUUGCAUGCAUGAGGCCCUGGGUU
rfam:Dipodomys ordii contig_75308, whole genome shotgun sequence.